rnacentral:rRNA from 1 species
UACGUAGGGGGCAAGCGUUGUCCGGAAUCAUUGGGCGUAAAGCGCGUGUAGGCGGCCCGGUAAGUCCGCUGUGAAAGUCCAGGGCUCAACCCUGGAAUGCCGGUGGAUACUGUCGGGCUCGAGUCCGGAAGAGGCGAGUGGAAUUCCUGGUGUAGCGGUGAAAUGCGCAGAUAUCAGGAGGAACACCAAUGGCGAAGGCAGCUCUCUGGGACGGUACUGACACUGAGACGCGAAAGCGUGGGGAGCGAACGGG